GGUCUGGUGGUGUAGAGGCAACACAUCCUUUCAACAUACGGUCCCAAGAAAAAGCGAUUUCCGAGGAAACACCCUGUUCGAUUCGGGGCCAGGCCA